rnacentral:rRNA from 1 species
ACUAUCAUUAACUGAAUCCAUAGGUUAAUGAGGCGAACCGGGGGAACUGAAACAUCUAAGUACCCCGAGGAAAAGAAAUCAACCGAGAUUCCCCCAGUAGCGGCGAGCGAACGGGGAGGAGCCCAGAGCCUGAAUCAGCAUGUGUGUUAGUGGAAGCGUCUGGAAAGGCGCGCGAUACAGGGUGACAGCCCCGUACACAAAAGCGCAUGUGCUGUGAGCUCGAUGAGUAGGGCGGGACACGUGGUAUCCUGUCUGAAUAUGGGGGGACCAUCCUCCAAGGCUAAAUACUCCUGACUGACCGAUAGUGAACCAGUACCGUGAGGGAAAGGCGAAAAGAACCCCGGCGAGGGGAGUGAAAAAGAACCUGAAACCGUGUACGUACAAGCAGUGGGAGCCCCACCACCAAAGCAUUUGCUGUACCGCGUUGACGGAGCGAAGCGACGUCAAACCGAUAAAACAGCAGUGUAAAGUGAGCCGCAGGGCGCUUUGCGCGACAGCGCAAAGGCAGGCGGUUUCGCGUAGCGAAAGCGAAUGCUUUGGGGUGGGGUGACUGCGUACCUUUUGUAUAAUGGGUCAGCGACUUAUAUUCUGUAGCAAGGUUAACCGAAUAGGGGAGCCGGAGGGAAACCGAGUCUUAAUUGGGCGUUAAGUUGCAGGGUAUAGACCCGAAACCCGGUGAUCUAGCCAUGGGCAGGUUGAAGGUUGGGUAACACUAACUGGAGGACCGAACCGACUAAUGUUGAAAAAUUAGCGGAUGACCUGUGGCUGGGGGUGAAAGGCCAAUCAAACCGGGAGAUAGCUGGUUCUCCCCGAAAGCUAUUUAGGUAGCGCCUCGUGAAUUCAUCUCCGGGGGUAGAGCACUGUUUCGGCUAGGGGGCCAUCCCGGCUUACCAACCCGAUGCAAACUGCGAAUACCGGAGAAUGUUAUCACGGGAGACACACGGCGGGUGCUAACGUCCGUCGUGAAGAGGGAAACAACCCAGACCGCCAGCUAAGGUCCCAAAGUCAUGGUUAAGUGGGAAACGAUGUGGGAAGGCCCAGACAGCCAGGAUGUUGGCUUAGAAGCAGCCAUCAUUUAAAGAAAGCGUAAUAGCUCACUGGUCGAGUCGGCCUGCGCGGAAGAUGUAACGGGGCUAAACCAUGCACCGAAGCUGCGGCAGCGACACUGUGUGUUGUUGGGUAGGGGAGCGUUCUGUAAGCCUGUGAAGGUGUGUCGUGAGGCAUGCUGGAGGUAUCAGAAGUGCGAAUGCUGACAUAAGUAACGAUAAAGCGGGUGAAAAGCCCGCUCGCCGGAAGACCAAGGGUUCCUGUCCAACGUUAAUCGGGGCAGGGUGAGUCGACCCCUAAGGCGAGGCCGAAAGGCGUAGUCGAUGGGAAACGGGUUAAUAUUCCCGUACUUGGUGUUACUGCGAAGGGGGGACGGAGAAGGCUAUGUUGGCCGGGCGACGGUUGUCCCGGUUUAAGCGUGUAGGUGUGUGUUCCAGGUAAAUCCGGUUCACUUUAACACUGAGGCGUGACGACGAGGCACUACGGUGCUGAAGCAACAAAUGCCCUGCUUCCAGGAAAAGCCUCUAAGCAUCAGGUAACAUCAAAUCGUACCCCAAACCGACACAGGUGGUCAGGUAGAGAAUACCAAGGCGCUUGAGAGAACUCGGGUGAAGGAACUAGGCAAAAUGGUGCCGUAACUUCGGGAGAAGGCACGCUGACACGUAGGUGAAGUGAUUUACUCAUGGAGCUGAAGUCAGUCGAAGAUACCAGCUGGCUGCAACUGUUUAUUAAAAACACAGCACUGUGCAAACACGAAAGUGGACGUAUACGGUGUGACGCCUGCCCGGUGCCGGAAGGUUAAUUGAUGGGGUCAGCGCAAGCGAAGCUCCUGAUCGAAGCCCCGGUAAACGGCGGCCGUAACUAUAACGGUCCUAAGGUAGCGAAAUUCCUUGUCGGGUAAGUUCCGACCUGCACGAAUGGCGUAAUGAUGGCCAGGCUGUCUCCACCCGAGACUCAGUGAAAUUGAACUCGCUGUGAAGAUGCAGUGUACCCGCGGCAAGACGGAAAGACCCCGUGAACCUUUACUAUAGCUUGACACUGAACAUUGAGCCUUGAUGUGUAGGAUAGGUGGGAGGCUUUGAAGUGUGGACGCCAGUCUGCAUGGAGCCGACCUUGAAAUACCACCCUUUAAUGUUUGAUGUUCUAACGUGGACCCGUUACCCGGGUUGCGGACAGUGUCUGGUGGGUAGUUUGACUGGGGCGGUCUCCUCCUAAAGAGUAACGGAGGAGCACGAAGGUUGGCUAAUCCUGGUCGGACAUCAGGAGGUUAGUGCAAUGGCAUAAGCCAGCUUGACUGCGAGCGUGACGGCGCGAGCAGGUGCGAAAGCAGGUCAUAGUGAUCCGGUGGUUCUGAAUGGAAGGGCCAUCGCUCAACGGAUAAAAGGUACUCCGGGGAUAACAGGCUGAUACCGCCCAAGAGUUCAUAUCGACGGCGGUGUUUGGCACCUCGAUGUCGGCUCAUCACAUCCUGGGGCUGAAGUAGGUCCCAAGGGUAUGGCUGUUCGCCAUUUAAAGUGGUACGCGAGCUGGGUUUAGAACGUCGUGAGACAGUUCGGUCCCUAUCUGCCGUGGGCGCUGGAGAACUGAGGGGGGCUGCUCCUAGUACGAGAGGACCGGAGUGGACGCAUCACUGGUGUUCGGGUUGUCAUGCCAAUGGCACUGCCCGGUAGCUAAAUGCGGAAGAGAUAAGUGCUGAAAGCAUCUAAGCACGAAACUUGCCCCGAG